GAGUAGGGCGGGACACGUGGUAUCCUGUCUGAAUAUGGGGGGACCAUCCUCCAAGGCUAAAUACUCCUGACUGACCGAUAGUGAACCAGUACCGUGAGGGAAAGGCGAAAAGAACCCCGGCGAGGGGAGUGAAAAAGAACCUGAAACCGUGUACGUACAAGCAGUGGGAGCACGCUUAGGCGUGUGACUGCGUACCUUUUGUAUAAUGGGUCAGCGACUUAUAUUCUGUAGCAAGGUUAACCGAAUAGGGGAGCCGAAGGGAAACCGAGUCUUAACUGGGCGUUAAGUUGCAGGGUAUAGACCCGAAACCCGGUGAUCUAGCCAUGGGCAGGUUGAAGGUUGGGUAACACUAACUGGAGGACCGAACCGACUAAUGUUGAAAAAUUAGCGGAUGACUUGUGGCUGGGGGUGAAAGGCCAAUCAAACCGGGAGAUAGCUGGUUCUCCCCGAAAGCUAUUUAGGUAGCGCCUCGUGAAUUCAUCUCCGGGGGUAGAGCACUGUUUCGGCAAGGGGGUCAUCCCGACUUACCAACCCGAUGCAAACUGCGAAUACCGGAGAAUGUUAUCACGGGAGACACACGGCGGGUGCUAACGUCCGUCGUGAAGAGGGAAACAACCCAGACCGCCAGCUAAGGUCCCAAAGUCAUGGUUAAGUGGGAAACGAUGUGGGAAGGCCCAGACAGCCAGGAUGUUGGCUUAGAAGCAGCCAUCAUUUAAAGAAAGCGUAAUAGCUCACUGGUCGAGUCGGCCUGCGCGGAAGAUGUAACGGGGCUAAACCAUGCACCGAAGCUGCGGCAGCGACGCUUAUGCGUUGUUGGGUAGGGGAGCGUUCUGUAAGCCUGCGAAGGUGUGCUGUGAGGCAUGCUGGAGGUAUCAGAAGUGCGAAUGCUGACAUAAGUAACGAUAAAGCGGGUGAAAAGCCCGCUCGCCGGAAGACCAAGGGUUCCUGUCCAACGUUAAUCGGGGCAGGGUGAGUCGACCCCUAAGGCGAGGCCGAAAGGCGUAGUCGAUGGGAAACAGGUUAAUAUUCCUGUACUUGGUGUUACUGCGAAGGGGGGACGGAGAAGGCUAUGUUGGCCGGGCGACGGUUGUCCCGGUUUAAGCGUGUAGGCUGGUUUUCCAGGCAAAUCCGGAAAAUCAAGGCUGAGGCG
rnacentral:rRNA from 1 species